rnacentral:rRNA from 1 species
UACGUAGGGACCAAGCGUUGUUCGGAUUUACUGGGCGUAAAGGGCGCGUAGGCGGCGUGGUAAGUCACUUGUGAAAUCUCUGAGCUUAACUCAGAACGGCCAAGUGAUACUGCUGUGCUAGAGUGCAGAAGGGGCAAUCGGAAUUCUUGGUGUAGCGGUGAAAUGCGUAGAUAUCAGGAGGAACACCUGCGGUGUAGACGGCUUUCUGGACCAUUGCUGACGCUGAGACACGAAAGCGUGGGUAGCAAACAGG